rnacentral:rRNA from 1 species
UACAGAGGUCUCAAGCGUUGUUCGGAUUCAUUGGGCGUAAAAGGGUGUGUAGGUGGCGCGCUAAGUCGGGUGUGAAAUUUCGGAGCUUAACUCCGAAACUGCAUUCGAUACUGGCGUGCUUGAGGACUGGAGAGGAGACUGGAAUUUACGGUGUAGCAGUGAAAUGCGUAGAUAUCGUAAGGAAGACCAGUGGCGAAGGCGGGUCUCUGGACAGUUCCUGACACUGAGACACGAAGGCCAGGGGAGCAAACGGG